rnacentral:rRNA from 1 species
AGUGAACGCUGGCGGUAGGCCUAACACAUGCAAGUCGAACGGCAGCACAGUAAGAGCUUGCUCUUACGGGUGGCGAGUGGCGGAGGGGUGAGGAAGACAUCGGAAUCUACUUUUUCGUGGGGGAUAACGUAGGGAAACUUACGCGAAUACCGCAUACGACCUACGGGUGAAAGCAGGGGAUUUUCGGACCUUGCGCGAUUGAAUGAGCCGAUGCCGGAUUAGCGAGUUGGCGGGUGAAUGGCCCACCAAGGCGACGAUCCGUAGCUGGUCUGAGAGGAUGAUCAGCCACACUGGAACUGAGACACGGUCCAGACUCCUACGGGAGGCAGCAGUGGGGAAUAUUGGACAAUGGGCGCAAGCCUGAUCCAGCCAUACCGCGUGGGUGAAGAAGGCCUUCGGGUUGCAAAGCCCUUUUGUUGGGAAAGAAAAGCAGCAGGUUAAUACCCCGCUGUUCUGACGGUACCCAAAGAAUAAGCACCGGCUAACUUCGUG